CCUGAACGCUGGCGGCGUGGCUAAGACAUGCAAGUCGCACGGUGUAGCAAUACACAGUGGCGAACGGGUGAGUAAUGAAUCGCUAAUGUACCCCGGACUCUGGGAUAGCUAGCCGAAAGGUUAGGUAAUACCAGAUGAUAUAUCUUUAUCGCAUGAUAGAGAUCUCAAAGGUCCGCCGGUCUGGGAGCAGGCGAUUUCGUAUCAGCUAGNGGUGAGGUAACGGCUCACCAAGGCGACGACGCGUAGCCGGACUGAGAGGUUGGCCGGCCACAUUGGGACUGAGACACUGCCCAGACUCCUACGGGGGCUGCAGUAACGAAUCUUCCGCAAUGCACGAAAGUGUGACGGAGCGACGCCGCGUGUGGGACGAAGCCCUUCGGGGUAGUAAACCACUGUCAGGGGAUAGAAAGUUCUGAUCACUCCCCAGAGGAAGGCACGGCUAACUCUGUGCCAGCAGCAGCCGCCGCGGUAAG
rnacentral:rRNA from 1 species